UUCAAUCAGAUGUGCUUUUAACGCGGAGCUUUAGUAAUUUAACAUGUAUACUAAGGCACGCGGUGAAUGCUUACUUGAUUGAG
rnacentral:pre_miRNA from 1 species